rnacentral:rRNA from 1 species
GAUGAACGCUGGCGGCGUGCCUAAUACAUGCAAGCCGAGCGAACGGACGAGAAGCUUGCUUCUCUGAUGUUAGCGGCGGACGAGUGAGUAACACGUGGAUAACCUACCUAUAAGACUGGGAUAACUUCGGGAAACCGGAGCUAAUACCGGAUGAUAUUUUGAACCGCAUGGUUCAAAAGUGAAAGACGGUCUUGCUGUCACUUAUAGAUGGAUCCGCGCUGCAUUAGCUAGUUGGUAAGGUAACGGCUUACCAAGGCAACGAUGCAUAGCCGACCUGAGAGGGUGAUCGGCCACACUGGAACUGCGCCACGGUCCAGACUCCUACGGGAGGCAGCAGUAGGGAAUCUUGCGCAUUGGGCGAAAGCCUGACGGAGCAACGCCGCGUGAGUGAUGAAGGUCUUCGGAUCGUAAAUCUCUGCUAUUAGGGAAGAACAUAUGUGUAAGUAACUGUGCACAUCUUGACGGUACCUAAUCAGAAAGCCACGGCUAACUACGUG